UACAGAGGGGGCAAGCGUUAUUCGGAAUUAUUGGGCGUAAAGAGCGCGUAGGCGGUGUUUUAAGUGAGAUGUGCAAUCCCCGAGCUUAACUUGGGAACUGCAUCUCAUACUGGAACGCUAGAGUACCGGAGAGGGUGGUAGAAUUCCACGUGUAGCGGUGAAAUGCGUAGAGAUGUGGAGGAAUACCAGUGGCGAAGGCGGCCACCUGGACGGUAACUGACGCUGAGGUGCGAAAGUGUGGGUAGCAAACAGGAUUAGAUACCCUGGUAGUCCACGCUGUAAACGAUGAACACUUGGUGUGGCGGGAGUUGACCCCUGCCGUGCCGUAGCUAACGCGAUAAGUGUUCCGCCUGGGGAGUACGGUCGCAAGGCUGAA
rnacentral:rRNA from 1 species